CUAAAACUUAUCUAGAUCUUGUAUGUUCUCCGCACGAUGAACAAAAAUAAUUAUACUAUUCAUUUUUUAUGGUCGAACUUCUUCUGUUUAGGUAGGAUUCAACCUCAUUAAUGAUUACCUGCAAAUGGUGAAUGGCACGAGCAAAUGACUGCGCAAAUCUCGAAGCAGCCUCGGAUGUUUUAUAAGAGAAACCAGUUGAGAGCUCAGCAAAUUGCAGAUGACAAGGAAGAGGUUUUGAUACCUUGUUGGCGUUGGGGACCAGCUCCUGCAGAGCUUUCAUCCUCUCUGCUAUUCUCUCCCUGCGCAGCUGUGAAUAGGAACAAGGAAUAACACACAAGAGAAAAGGACUCAGGACAAACAAACAAAUGCAAGCACAGCAGUAGGUGCGGACUGUGUGGCGUGGCACAAAAAGUUGGGAAAGGAAAACUGCAACGAGAAAGAAAUAGUAAACGGGGGGAAGCAUUUAUUUUAGCUGCCUGCUCUCAUUUCCAACCACUCGCUUUCGAAAUUUAAUUGAAAGCAACGAUUUUCUAUUGUGUUUUUGAUGUACUUUCAUACCCUCUCGGCUAUACUGUGGGGAUCUGUGGCCUGGCCCCGUCGAGCUCGCACCUUCUGCCUCGGCGGCCCCGUGCCGCCACCGCCGGCGGAGGCCGAGGCUGAGACUGCCGCAGCAGGGGCUUGGGUUAGUCCAGGCGCCAGUGGCGCUGCUCCAAAGUUCUGGCCAAGCAUAGGCGCGCCCUGCUUUUGGUUUGGACUUUGAUAAGUACAAAUGCUCAGAAAAGGGGGGAAAAUAAGUGGGUUUGUUUAGAACUUCGAUUUUUUUUUGUUUUUGUAAAACCUGGGGAUGAGGAAAAGUGUGUUGAUUAGCCGACUCAGUGUGUUGAAGAGCUCCGCUGAAUCCAUUGUACCGCCCAUCGCCCACCUUUCAUCCCGAUCGAGUAUUCACAGCAAAGUUAGGUUUUCCUUUUUCUAAAAAUGGAUUGCUAAAACCAAAGAAGAAGAAGAAGAAGAAGAAGAAGAAGAAGAAACCGGGAGUUAGAACGACUAACAGUGGAAUUAGGGGAAUCAACAGAGCCGCAGCCCCCAAGCGUCAGAGGCAAAGGGAGGAAUCCAGAGUCGCCGGAUGUGGCUAGCAUCUGCUGCUGACCAUGAUGACUGAGCGGGAGCAUCAUUGCUUUCCCCACCGGCGAGCUCCCGCCGCUGAUCUGGUACUGGCGGAGCCUGUUAGCAAGGAGAGCGGACUCAUCAAAUGGAGCGUACGGCAAGCCAUCCUCCGCCUCUUUUCCGACUCCGAAGAUCCUCUGCGCGGCGGUGGGGCCUUCCGAGUCCGGUGCGUCCCAGGGAGCCUUAGUAGCUCCGAGCUCGGCCCAAGGGGAGCGAAGGCCGGAGAGCAUCUGGUCAAGGAAGUCAUCGUGUCCGACGGAGCCUCCGUGAUCGAAUGGAGUUUGCGAACCAUGGCCGUUCUGCAGUUCCGGAAGCGCGAUCUGGUCGGAGGAGGCGGCGAUCCCAUUGAGCGACGCCGCGGUUUUGCCUUGCACUUGCAUAUCUCUCGCGCUUGGCUGCAUCGAUCCUCAAAUCCACGCCGAGAUUCU